CUUUCCAAGACGCUGGUACAACAGAAAACGGUUCGUCGUUUAAAGCAAUUGAAAACUUUAUUUUGCCUAAGGACUUCAAGGGCAGCGUCGUGUCUGAAAACGUAAAAUGUUCAAGUUCUCAAUGCAGAAAAUGCGAGUAUUUUGCCAACAUUGAAAACGGAGAGGAUUAUUUCAAUGUACACAAGAUAAGACGGAUUAGCAACGAGUUCGCCGUCCUUCCC